AGGCGAGAGGACUUGGGGAUCUGCAGAGAAAGGAGCCUUUGCAGGUGUGGUGCUGAAGACCCAUUUACCAGGUUUUUUAACCUGUGGGCUUCUACUCAGUCAUUGAUGGGAGAAGAUUCUGGUUGGAGCUGCUUUGGCUUACAAAGUGCUUCCCAGCAGUCACUAAUGAUAAAGAACCUGCUUCCAAUGCAGGAGAUGUAAGAGAUACGAGUUCUACCCCUGGUUCAG